rnacentral:rRNA from 1 species
UACAGAGGUCUCAAGCGUUGUUCGGAUUCAUUGGGCGUAAAGGGUGCGUAGGCGGCGCGGUAAGUCGGGUGUGAAAUCUUGGAGCUUAACUCCGAAACUGCAUUCGAUACUGCCGUGCUUGAGGACUGGAGAGGAGACUGGAAUUUACGGUGUAGCGGUGAAAUGCGUAGAUAUCGUAAGGAAGACCAGUGGCGAAGGCGGGUCUCUGGACAGUUCCUUGACGCUGAGGCACGAAGGCCAGGGGGAGCAAACGGG